rnacentral:rRNA from 1 species
UACGAAGGGUGCAAGCGUUAAUCGGAAUUACUGGGCGUAAAGGGCGCGUAGGCGGUUCCAUGCGUCCCACGUGAAAGCCCCUGGCUCAACCAGGGAGGGUCGUGGGAAACGGGGGAACUGGAGGCAGAGAGAGGCUGGUGGAAUUCCCGGAGUAGUGGUGAAAUGCGUAGAUAUCGGGAGGAACACCGGUGGCGAAGGCGGCCAGCUGGCUCUGACCUGACGCUGAGGCGCGAAGGCGUGGGGAGCGAACGGG